UUCUAGAAAACCCCCAAAGCCUUCAGCUUCAAUUUGGUCUUUAAGAAGUGCAAAACCGUUGGUGUAUUUUUAAAAGCAGAGCAUUAGAAAGGAUUUUUUUCCCCCUGGCUUAACUGACCCCAGAGUUCAAUCUUAGUCAAGCUGAUAGUUGAGAAAGUAAACUGAUUACCAUGUUAUGUCCAGAGCCUGUCCUGCCCCAGCAUCACUGACCCAACAUUGUCACACUGCACCUUCUUUUCCACACUUCUCAAAAUUCAUUUCAGUGAAUCAGAGAUGCUCCUGGAUCAUUCACUACCUUGGCAAAGCAACCACCAGGAAAAGGCAGCUGUGCAGUGGUUUUAGAGCAUCCACUGUCUCUGCUAAAUAAGCAUUUUCAUGACAAAAGUCAAGAAAUAAAUAACAAUUUCAAGAAGUUCCUGAAACCUCUAUUUAAAGUGCUUUAAGUUGUAAGUUCAAGGAAGGCAAUGCCUUUGUGACAGCACAGCUGUCAAUUAAAAAGAUUCCCAGGGCCUCCUGGUUAGUCUGACUCUUGGUCUUUAGAAUUAUAUGAAUAUAGGCUUAAGACCACCCAAAUCCCUUUUUUUUUUUUUUUCUUUUUGAGAGGGGGAAAGAAAGAGAACAUGCACACAAGCGGGUGAAAGAGACCAUUACCAUUACCCUGGUGUUGGCCAAGUGUAGUACCAAAGAUGUGACAGGCAGCACUGACCUGUGGCAGCAGCUGUAUUUACACUAGAGCCUAGCAGGAAAAACACACUGGAGGGGAUGGUACACACACUGCAGGAUGCACUGGCCUUUGGGGAGCUGCUUUAACCCACAUGUGCAGAAUCCAGCUGCAGGAAUUUAAUUCCCUGCCAAAGCACCACUGUGGGUAGCUGACUUUUGUCUCUUGCUUAGUGAGUACGUGGCUGAUUUUGCACCUAAAUCUCACCUCUCUACCGGGAAGCAAUCCCACAACAGUGGGAGGGACAUGUUCUGCUGGAGAGCCAGAGACAAUCCUAGUUAUCUCUUGUUUCAUUAGAAUCACCAGCAUGACUGAUGUGCCGAAGGAAAGAGGAUGAGCAGCUUCUAGUCUGCAGGACAGGCUUAGAGAAUGGGGCAAAAUAAGAGCUUAAAAUCUCCAAUUCAUUAAAAAAAUAAAAAAAAAUUUAAAAAUAAAAUGAACAAAAUUUAAAGUAUCUGUUCUCAGCAGACAGGAGGGAGUAGAAACAUUUCAACCAGCACAGUGUAACACCUUAUUGAAGCUGAUCUCCCUAGGCUCCCUGGCAGUCCAUGGAGAGAGGAGGGGAGGCUCCUCCAAGAUGAGGCAGAGCUGGAGCCUCGGGUUGCCCCUCAGAGGGACAGGGACCCAGGAGAAGACCCUGGAAGGCAGAGGCUGUGCCCCUUGUAGAUCUGGGCUCAAAGCAAUCCAUUUGUCCUGGGUCUCUUCAAACUGAAAUUCAUUGCACAGUCUUUGGACAACAUUUCUUUGUUUUCUAAUUGAUUCAGGCUUUUUUAGGCUGAUCUCUCAAGACAGAGUUUAAGCAAAAAGAAACAGAAUCAAAUACUUGCUUUUUCAGCAGGGAAAAACAAACAAAAAAAAAUCAUAAACAUUGCUCUGUCCUGGGCUGUAGUUUUCCCAUGCUGCUCCCAUCUUUAUUGUUCUUCCUUCACACCAUGAGUUCCUGGAUAGCAAAGAAAACAGUCUAUGUCUUCAAGAACCAAGGUUGGUAGAAAAAUCAAAUUAAAAAUGGCAAUCACAUUUGCAGCAGUAUAGGCAGCUAAAACGAUCACCUUUGUUAUUUACACCACUUCAGGUAUCAAGUAGUUCAGAGCCCUGUUUUGGCAGCUCCCUGUGCAUGGAAAGGAAACAGCCAUCACCAACACAUGGGAAGCAUAACUGGCCAGUAUCUUCAGGUGCUGAAGCUUUAAGCAUGUUCACAUGUCCCAUUAAUUCCUUUAUUACCAGCUGUUUUUAAUCCCCUGCCAAAAGCAGGUGCUUUUAUACUUCCCCAAAUAACAGAUGGAAUAUGGGGUUUGUGAAUCAGUGUGCAAGAGUCACAAUAUGAGGGGCAGAUGGGACCAGGUUGGUAGGGAAGGGAGCAAGGAAGAAGGGACAAAGUUCAAAU
rnacentral:lncRNA from 1 species